CAAUACGAAGGACAUAAAAAAUAACUUAUUUAUGACACAUUAUAGUAAUAACUGAUGGCAAGUACUUGCAACUCAUAUAAUUAGUUUUUAAAAAUGUUCGCGAUAUAGGAAAUACUUUGAAAAACUUUAUCAUGUCCAUCGUUGAUUUCAUUCGGUUAAUAUUGCUGAACAAGUAAACAUAACAGUUUGAAUAAUGAGUUGCGUUCAUUUUUAGUCCGAAUGUUGAAUCUGUUAAUACAAUAUACAAGUCAAGUUUUAUAGUAAGAGAAGGCAUAAUAAUCAUUUAGGAUAAAUAGUGGAAUAAUAGAAUAGUGUAACAGAAGUUAAUAAUUAAUUUCGACGAGUAACCUCGAAAGAAUUCAAAGAAGAAGUAUUACAAAUCGCAAGAACGAUGGAAGUAUCAAAUUUGUCACCCACACUUAAACAUAGAAGGAAAUUCGAACGCAUUGAGACGACUAAUACGAACGAUCACGACACAUCAUCCGUUAAUCAUAACUCCGAUCUAUAUACAAUAAGUAAACUAUGUGCUUGUAUUAAUCAGAAAGCUCAGACGUUACCAGACUGUUGUAAAGAGUCCACAGACAAGUGUUUCUUGCAAGAGGAGAAGAAUUUUAUCGAUCCGAUCGACGUCUCCAGUAUUCAGAAGAGCUAUAUUAUUGAGAUGAAUAAAACUAUAUUGAAACUUCUGCAUUAUCACAUAGCAGUCCUAAUUCUAAUUGCCUCGUUUGGAACAUUUUUCCUUUGUUUAUACAUGGAUCACGCAGAAUUAGGAUACAUGUAUAUAUCCGAAGCAGCUUAUUAUUAUCCUGAAACAAGUUUUUUCGCGCAAUUUGUAAACUUGGUCGGGUUAUUUGUCGGUAUGGGCAUAUUACUGAGACACCUUGUAUUACUUCAAUUUAUACGAGAUAGAGGCGAAAAUAUGAUAACAAAAAAAUUCAGCAAUAUAUCUACUUUAUUCGGUACAGUCAUCGUUAUAGGUAUCAAUUUAAUUGGAAAUUUUCCAAUUGUCCAACCCUGCUAUGCUUUCCAUUACACCGGUGUAUUAUUACUUUUUCUUGGUGUCACUGUAUAUACGAUUACUCAGGUUAGUAUAUAUCUAUGGUGUCGCAUAAUGUUUUAAUAAAUACUUUUCCAAUGUAUCUAAACACGAAUAGAGAUAACAAACGGAGAUAUAAACAAACUUUACAAAUGUUUUCUUAAAUUUCAAUUAAACGUAUAUCUGUGAAUACUUUAAAAAAGAUAUUUAUAUAUAUAUAUAUAUAUAUUUAUUUAUUUAUUUAUGUAUAUAUAUAUAUAUAUAAGUUUAGAUAUUGGAUACAUUAUAUUGAUAUUGGAUACAGUACUAAUAUCUUGACUGUUUAUUUAAAAUCUACACUGAACAACUGGCAAAAUAUCACACCGAAUAAUAUUUCAAUGAAUCACACUAAAAUCACUAAAGAGAUGAUUGGUAUUCUCUCCGAUCGCUAUAUUUAUUACGUACGAAUUAUCUUUUCAACGAUAUUGUUUAUAUUACUUCUAUUAAUUAUAAUACCUGGUACAAUUGCGACAUCACAAUUUAACGGUACGAAUUAUAGAAAAUGGACCAAAAACGAUAAUGGUUGGUUCUUACAUAAUGUAAGUGUUGUUGCAGAAUGGUUGUACGUGUUUUUAAGUGGCGUAUACCUAGUUACUUUCGUAUACGAAUACAAUACGAUAUAUUUCGAGAUGCCCAUAAUUAAGAUAACUUAUUUGGACAAGAAAGAAAAGAAAGAAUUGAGAUCGGAAAUCUGAAUGUACAAAAAACGAUUACUCAGUGAUAAUCGAUCUAAUCUCGAUAAUAAUAAAUUGAUCACUAAAUGAUAUAUAAUUAUUUAACGAUGGACCUUGCAACAACAAUGCAAAAGAUAUAGCUGCUAAUGAUUAUAUCAUCGAAUGAGUUUAGUUAGGCGACCUUGAAAAAUAAAAAUGUGAAGAAAAGACCAGAGAUUCGAAUAGAGAUACGUCAGAACGGAAGUUCUCCGGCAGUGAGUUUGCCUUUUUCGAUCAUCGCCGGAUAGGUAUUUAAAUAUAAUAUGAUAAUAAUAAAUUCAUAUCGCCGACAUAAUAAUAAUAAGCUAAUAAUAUUAAUUAAUUAAUCGUCGUAUUAGUUACGUCGUAUUUCGUGCGUUUCUCGAAUAAUUGAAAAUAGAAUCGUAAUAAGUGUAUCAUAAUAAAAGAAAAGUAAUAAUAAGAAUAAUAAGAAUAAGAAUAAUAUUUUUAUGCGCUUAAUACAAUGUGUUAACGAUAAGCGAUAAUUCAAUAUUUUUUCAGUCUUUUUCUUACGUAAUUUACACGUAAUAUUUUAUACUCUUCCUUUUUUAUAUGUAUACAUCACUUUUGAAAUAUGUACAUGUCUCUUCAAAAAAGAUUUCUAAGAGAUUUCUUUUCAAGAAGA